GAGAGAGAGAGAGAGAGGAGAGUCUCAUAUUCCAACAGUAAAUGUAAAAACCAUCGAGACAGAGUCUCACGAGUUGCCCAGGAUACCCUUGAACUCAGGAUUUCAGGAUCCUCCACUUUAGGAUAGAAGACAUAUACCACCAUGCCUAUGCCCAGCUAGGACAAGAAAGGUUUUUAAUAUCAGUAUUCUUCUUUAAUUUCUGUUUAUUUUCCUGGAAGGGACAGAGUAAAUCCUUACCGGCAAGAAUCCAGCCCCACUCCCCACUCCAGGAGCCUCUAACUGGCUGGAGUCCACCAGUCCAUCUGGAUAUCACAAGAUGAAUCCAGCAAAGAGGACAAGGCAGAGGAAGAGUGAGGAGGGCUAUCCAGCCCUAGGCUGCCCGCCUCUCAUCCCCUCUGGAACUCUGUGGUCUCCCUCAAGAAACCUUCCCAAGCUCACCUCUCAUCAUGUGAGCUACCUGCUGUGCCCAGAAUCUGACCCUCCUCCUCCUCUUCUUCCUCCUCCUCUUCCUCCGCCUCCUCCUCCUCCUCCUCC
rnacentral:lncRNA from 1 species